GACGAACGCUGGCGGCGUGCUUAACACAUGCAAGUCGAACGGAAAGGCCCUGCUUUUGUGGGGUGCUCGAGCGGCGAACGGGUGAGUAACACGUGAGUAACCUGCCCUUGACUUUGGGAUAACUUCAGGAAACUGGGGCUAAUACCGGAUAGGAGCUCCUGCUGCAUGGUGGGGGUUGGAAAGUUUCGGCGGUUGGGGAUGGACUCGCGGCUUAUCAGCUUGUUGGUGGGGUAGUGGCUUACCAAGGCUUUGACGGGUAGCCGGCCUGAGAGGGUGACCGGCCACAUUGGGACUGAGACACGGCCCAGACUCCUACGGGAGGCAGCAGUGGGGAAUAUUGCACAAUGGGCGGAAGCCUGAUGCAGCAACGCCGCGUGCGGGAUGACGGCCUUCGGGUUGUAAACCGCUUUCGCCUGUGACGAAGCGUGAGUGACGGUAAUGGGUAAAGAAGCACCGGCUAACUACGUG
rnacentral:rRNA from 1 species